CACUUACACACACUUGGAGAACGCAAUAGAAGGAAGCGGAGCAGUUUGCUACUUUAUAGCCAACGCGCAUCCACAUCUGCACACAAGAAUACACAGUUACAUCUUCAUUACUCCCGCCCUUCGGCGCGUCCUUGUCACUCUAGUGGCAGAGGCAACGUGGUGAGGCCGCAUCCCUCGCUCGCAUUCCCGCUCAUCUUUUUUUUUUUCGUUUGACUCCCCCCCCUCUGAUUAGCUCGUGGAGGUCUCCUCAAUAUUCAUUCGGCAUCGCAUUGGGUCUACGAAGGCCCCUUCUCCCCUUCCUCAACCCACCCGCCACCGCCCCACAGCUGGUCCGUUUCCUUCUCUUCCUUGACGGCAGCUUUGCGGGUGCGCGCGCGUGUGUUGAACCGGAUCCGAUUCCCUGUUUGAGAGCGGCACAUUUUUCUCCCCUCCGUCUUUCUUCACGCCUCUCCACUCCCCGCGCGGUUCAAAUCGCAAGCCUUUGCCCUCCCAUUGUUAUUCUCACUGUGACAGCUUGCGUUAUCACCGGCUGAUCUUCAUCGUCUCCCACUCCACCGUCACCCGCAGGCAGGCACGCAGCUGUCUUGUGCGCGUCGAGGGCCGAAGACGCGGAGUGGGCUGGAAAGAGAACGAAGAGAAGCCACUAAAAAAAGCACCGCAACCUCGGUAGCCUGUCUUUGUGUGUAUAUGUCUGUGUGUGUCUGUCCUUGUCCUAUCGUCAGCAGCCAUUCAACGUAGGACAGACACAGAGGGAGGAGCCGGGGAACAAAAAACAGAUAAGAGAGGUUAUAGUAGCUACCACCUGCAGCGGUGGCCAGCGAAACAAAACGAAACCAUGAGCGGCGAUUACGUCUACGGAAACUACGCGGCCCAGUACGGUCAACCGCAGCCCCAGGCAUAUGGAGCCAAUACCGGUGCGUACGGUGGUGGUGCUCCAGCAAACGGCUACGGCGGCUAUGGGGCCCAAAACGAGACAUACCAACAGUAUGGCGCUCAGCAAGCAUACACGUAUGAGCAUCAACAGCAACAAGCGGCUCCAGCCCAGCAGCAGCAGUACAAUCAGUAUUCCAAUGGCAGCGAGCAGCGCGCAUCCCAAGAAGCAUACCACCAGCACCAAUACCAGCAGCGGCCACAAGCUCAGGCUCCCUCCUUUGGCCAGCCCGCCAUGGGUACAGUUGAAGAGAGACCUGCCGAAGCGACGACACGCUGGUCGUGGUCGCUUUACUCAAUGAACCGCAUUGACGGCGCGCGCAUGGUGGCCCCGUUGGGCUGUCUGUACUCCCCCCUCGGCAGCCCUUGUACCCAGCUCAACUACGCACCGACGCAAUGCACUGUGUGCGGGGGGGUGCUGAACCCGUACGCCACUCUCGACCCGCGCAGCCGCAUGUGGGGAUGUCCCCUGUGCCACACCAAGAACGCGCUGCCGCCGCAGCAUCAGCAAGCAAAUCAGUACAACCUGCCGCCAGAGAUGCAGCCGUCCUCGACGACAGUAGAAUUUGUGGCGCAUAUGCCUAGCCGCAGCCCGCCCACGUUCGUGCUGGUCGUUGACACGUGCCUCGAUACGGACGAGGAACUGCAGGGUCUGCGCGACUUCUUGUUACAGUCCCUGCAGAUGAUCCCAGAGUACGCAAAAGUGGCGAUUGUCACAUACGGCACGACUGUCAGCGUGCACGAGAUCGCUGGUCCUGCCACGUACCCGCGUGCCAUGGUGCUGCGUGGCACGCAGGAGAUGACGGUAGAGCGGCUAAAGCUGAUCUUGCCCAACCCCAGCCGAUUCGUGGCAGCGCUGCGCAACUGUGCUGCCUACGUGACGCAGCUCAUUUCCUCCAUGUCCCGCGACCUGUGGCCAGUCAUGAAGGGCCAUCGGCCACUGCGGUGCACCGGGGCUGCGCUCUCAGUUGCGGCUAGUUUGCUGCAGAUAGUAUCGCCGAACACGGGCUCCUGCAUCCUCACCUUCAUGUCCGGCGUGUGUACGUCGGGCCCAGGAAUUGUCGUGGACGUGAGUCGCGAAAAGAUGAUCCGCGUGCACGCCGACAUCCGCGACGAGACAGCGGCCGCCACGUACUGGAGCACCUCAUGCGCAUUCUACGAAAAGCUGAUGCAUCGCAUUGUCGCGCAGGGUCACUCUCUGAACUGCUUCGUCGCCUCCCUGGAUCAGUUUGGCCUGGCUGAGAUGAAGACGUGCGUGCAAUCUUCCGGCGGUGUUGUGCUGAAUGCGGAGUCGUGGCUGGAGGAGCCAUUUCGCCUUUCCCUACACCAGUUCUUUGCACGGCGCGAAGACGGAACGCUCAAGCUGGGGCUGAACGCGACAAUGGACGUCAUCACGUCGCCAACGUGGAAGGUGCAGGGUGUCAUUGGCCCCUGCGUCGGCACCGGCAAGAUGUCCGCGUCCGUGGCGGAGUACGAGAUCGGGCUCGGCGGCACCUGUCAGUGGACGACCUGCCAACUUGACUCAACCACCACCUUCGCCAUCUACUACGACACGGCCAGCACGCAAUCCAACGAGGCGGCCAAGAAUCCGCUGCGUUACACCCAAAUCGUGACGAGGUACGAGAUGGGGCAGGAGACACACACGCGCGUCACGACACUGACGUUGCGGCAGGCGCAGAACCCGCCCAUUCAAGACCUUGUCGCCGCCUUCGAUCAGGAGACAGCUGCCGUGUUGCUGGCUCGCGAAGCGGUGCACAAAACAGAUAGCAUGCCGCUCUUUGACGUGCUGCGUUGGCUGGACCGCACAGUGGUGCGUCUAGUCUCCCGCUUUGGCCAGUACACCAAAGACAAGCCUGACUCGCUGCGCCUGCCGAAAGAGUUUGUGUACUUCCCCGCCUUCAUGUACCACCUGCGCCGCUCCGGCUACCUGCAAAUCUUCAACUCGAGCCCCGACGAGACGGCGUCCCUGCGCCUGCAGCUGCUCAAGUCCAAUGUAGAGGACUCCAUUGUGCAGAUCCAGCCGACUCUGUACAGCUACCGCAUGGACGCGGCACCACAGCCGGUGCCACUCGACAGCACAGCCAUCCAGCCCGACAACGUUCUGCUGCUGGACACCUUUUUCGAGGUGCUCAUCCACUACGGCGCCAGCAUUGCUGCGUGGAAGAAGGCAGGCUAUGCAGAGCACGAGGACUACGCGCACUUCAAGAAGUUUCUGGAGGUACCACUGGCCGAUGCGCAUGUGCUCGUCGGCUCCCGCUACCCCACCCCGCGCCUGAUCGACGUGUGUCAAGACGACCCCGAUGCGCGUAUCUUGUACAACCGCAUCAACCCCAGCCGCUCCUACGCAUCCACCGAUGGUGGGGCCUACGGCUCGCACGAGGGCGAGCUCGUGUACACGGACGAUGCAUCGUUGCAGGUGUUCAUGCAGCACCUCAAGAAGCUGGCGGUGGCACAGUAGCCCGACGUCGUCUGGGUAGGGUGCAGGGUGUUGUUCGUGCACUGCCGCAGAUCAGCCCCGUGGGCUUUUGUGUAGCUGUAUUUUGUUGUUACUGCUUUCUCUCUCCGAGUAUGUGCGGUAGAAGUUGUUGUUGCAGGCGUCCGGCGCGCGUUCGGUCGCUGUGCGAUUGGUACAGAGUAUAGCAGGGAGAGGCGUUCAUUAGCGGCGUCCCCCCAUCACACCCCACCAGCCCAUCCCACUUCCAUCAACCAGUAUCGUCUUUUGGGCCUCUGCUUUACUGGUUGGGGAGGUUUCCCUGUGUGUCGCUCUCGCCCUUGUUGUAGUGGAGUGAUGUGGUCGUGCGGGGAGAAGAGGAGGAGCAAAGGUGCGAUACUCUCAGCUUGCAGUCGUGUAGAGGAGAAAAGCAUAGAGGGAUACAUAUAUACGUAUGUUUGUGUGUGCUUCGGCGGUGCACGUGCCGACUCUUUCGGUUUCCCUCUCCUUUCACAUCCUCGGUGCUGCGCUGGCCUCCUUCUUUUUUCAUUCGCGCCCGCACGGCGCUGCAGGGAGUUGGUGGUCCCCCUCCCACGUCUAGUCCUGCGGGGCAGUUGUUGGUGUUGGUUGUUAAUGCGUUCGGCUGUUCUGUAUUGUUGUUGUUU
rnacentral:misc_RNA from 1 species